rfam:Lepisosteus oculatus unplaced genomic scaffold TNK251, whole genome shotgun sequence.
GGGCCAGUGGCGCAAUGGAUAACGCAUCUGAUUUUGGAUCAGAAGAUUGCAGGUUUGAUUCCUGCCUGGCUCG